rnacentral:tRNA from 1 species
GGACCCUUAGCUCAGUCGGUUAGAGCAACCGGCUCAUAACCGGUCGGUCCUGGGUUCGAGUCCCCGAAGGUCCA